rnacentral:rRNA from 1 species
GACGAACGCUGGCGGCGUGCUUAACACAUGCAAGUCGAACGGAAAGGCCCUGCUUUUUUGGGGUGCUCGAGUGGCGAACGGGUGAGUAACACGUGAGUAACCUGCCCUUGACUUUGGGAGAACUUCAGGAAACGGGGGCUAAGACCGUAUAGGAGCUCCUGCUCCAGGGUGAGGGUUGGAAAGUUUCGGCUGGCGGGGAUGGACGCGCGGCUGAUGAGCUUGUUAGUUGGGGGGGGGCCUACCAACGCUUGGGCGGGUAGGCGGCUGGUGAGGGUGACCGGCCACAUUGGGACUGAGAUACGGCCCAGACUCCUACGGGAGGCAGCAGUGGGGAAUAUUGCACAAUGGGCGGAAGCCUGAUGCAGCAACGCCGCGUGCGGGAUGACGGCCUUCGGGUUGUAAACCGCUUUCGCCUGUGACGAAGCGUGAGUGACGGUAAUGGGUAAAGAAGCACCGGCUAACUACGUG